rnacentral:rRNA from 1 species
AUUGAACGCUGGCGGCAGGCCUAACACAUGCAAGUCGAGCGGAUGACGGGAGCUUGCUCCCUGAUUUAGCGGCGGACGGGUGAGUAAUGCCUAGGAAUCUGCCUGGUAGUGGGGGAUAACGUUCCGAAAGGAACGCUAAUACCGCAUACGUCCUACGGGAGAAAGCAGGGGACCUUCGGGCCUUGCGCUAUCAGAUGAGCCUAGGUCGGAUUAGCUAGUUGGUGAGGUAAUGGCUCACCAAGGCGACGAUCCGUAACUGGUCUGAGAGGAUGAUCAGUCACACUGGAACUGAGACACGGUCCAGACUCCUACGGGAGGCAGCAGUGGGGAAUAUUGGACAAUGGGCGAAAGCCUGAUCCAGCCAUGCCGCGUGUGUGAAGAAGGUCUUCGGAUUGUAAAGCACUUUAAGUCGGGAGGAAGGGCUGCAGGUUAAUACCUUGCAGCCUUGACGUUACCGACAGAAUAAGCACCGGCUAACUUCGUGCCAGUCGCCGCGGUAACAC